UGGGAACGUGCCCUUCAGUUCGGAACAACCCAGGGAAACUUGGGCUAAUACCGGAUACGUCCGUAAGGAGAAAGAUUUAUCGCUGAAGGAUCGGCCCGCGUCUGAUUAGCUUGUUGGUGAGGUAAUGGCUCACCAAGGCUACGAUCAGUAGCUGGUCUGAGAGGAUGAUCAGCCACACUGGGACUGAGACACGGCCCAGACUCCGUACGGGAGGCAG
rnacentral:rRNA from 1 species